rnacentral:misc_RNA from 1 species
GUGAAUCAUCGAAUCUUUGAACGCACAUUGCGCCCUUUGGCAUUCCGAAGGGCAUGCCUGUUCGAGCGUCAUUAUCACCCCUCAAGCCCCCUUGGCUUGGUGUUGGACGGUUUUGGUGGGACGUGCAGCCUCUCACCCCUCCUAAAGACAAUGACGGCGGCGUCGUUUGGACCCUCGGUACACUGAGCUUCUUAACUGAGCACGUACUGGAUGCGGGUACGCGACGCACGGUCUGCCUCCCCUUUAGGGAGAACUUUUUCUUAAGGUUGACCUCGGAUCAGGUAGGAAUACCCGCUGAAC